UACGAAGGGGGCUAGCGUUGCUCGGAAUCACUGGGCGUAAAGGGUGCGUAGGCGGGUUUUUAAGUCAGAGGUGAAAUCCUGGAGCUCAACUCCAGAACUGCCUUUGAUACUGAAAGUCUUGAGUAUGGGAGAGGUGAGUGGAACUGCGAGUGUAGAGGUGAAAUUCGUAGAUAUUCGCAAGAACACCAGUGGCGAAAGGCGGCUCACUGGCCCGGUACUGACGCUGAGGUGCGAAAGCGUGGGGGAGCAAACAGG
rnacentral:rRNA from 1 species